CACGCCGCAUCGUUCCCCGCUUCGUUCCCCAACGUGAAGCACGCGUUUUUUUUGUCGAUCCUCCCGCCGCUCCUGUCCGACGGCCAUGUGUUUACCUCGCCGGGGCAUGGCAGCGGGGCGCCCUCCUUUCUCGCAUUCCUGGCGCGGCGGCUGCUCGGCGGAUUGCAAAGAGGCAGGUGGAGGAGCUCACCAAGUAGCCCGCCGGAGUCAAAGGCGUUCGAGGAUAGGGACAAGCCGGCGGCGCAGCCAGUGACUGGAGCGGCGGCGCGAGCUCUGCCUCCGGGGAGAGGCCGAGGGGCGAUGCAUCUUUGGCCUUGAGACAAGAACCGAGACCAAAUUAGGAGCAUCAAAAACUUCAGAUCGAUUUUCGGCAGCUUCGCUCAAGGCCGACGAUUGGGCGCGUGUGGUGGCAGUUCGAGGAGUGGCGACAUCUUCUGGUGGAUUGUUGUGUGUGCUCUGGUCUGAAAGUUUGUGCUUAGAAGGAGUGGCAACAUCUUCAGGUGGAAGGAGUGGCAGUUCAAGGACAUCUUCUGCAGUGGUCUGAAUUGAUUCAGGAAUUCUGCACGCCAUCCAAAUUGAUUUACUAAAUAUUGGAUGUUCAGCACUCUCCUGAGGUGAAUAAUGUAUUGAAAGAGAUGUCAUCAUCAGAGGAUGAGCAAGUUGAACACGGCACUGUAGAACAUGAAUUGUUUUCCAUGCCAUCUGAUGCCAUGGAGCAUGGAACAAAAUUGUUUUCCAUGCCAUCUGAUGCCAUGGAGCAUGGAACAAAUAGCAGCAGCAGCAGCACAUAGCAGCAGAUCAAUCUACAGGCAACUGUACCUUCUUCAGAGUGCAAAUAGCAGCAGCAGCAACACGGCGCAGUCACUUGGACCAGCAGCAGCAGCAACACGACAUGUUCACUUGGAUCAGCAGCAGCAACACAGGUAGAGGAGCAGCAGCAUCAACACGGGCAGAGGAGCAGCAGCAGCACGGGCUAGCUCCACCGGCGGCAGGGGAGAAGCAGAGGAGAAACAGAGCAGCAGCAGGCACGCGGGCAGAGGAGAAGGAGCAGCACGGCAGCUGGUGGGAGCUCGACGAGGACUUGCGGGAGAUAGAGGAGGACGCGCGCAAGCUCUUGUCCACCGGAUCGUGGAGGCCGGUUCCAGCGAUGCCCGUAGGAGAUCACGGCGGGAGGGGUCGCGGCAGCACACGGGAGGCAGCUCAAGGUGGACUCACGGCAGCUAGAGGAGGACUCGCGGUAGCUCGAGGAAGAUGAGAGGGAGCUCCUGCUCCGCCGGAUCAUGGUGGGAAAUUCCGGCGACGUCCGCAGGUAAUCCGGCGAGAGGGGAUCGCUGCGGCACAGGUUCGGGCGGCGGUGGCGGAGCAGGUACUUGGCGACGGCGGCGGCGGCAAAGGUACGGGCGGAGCACUUCCUGAUGGGCGCCAAAUCACGCAGCUUGGCGGCGCCGGCCCCUAGCGACGCACGGGCGGAGGAAGAAGACGGGGGUGGAGGGACUUGUUUGCGACAGUUUGGAAACUACGAGGUUUUUUUUGCAAAAUCACCAAUGAACUACGGGCACGACGUGUUUUUUGGGACGGAGGGAGUAUAAACUAGAUGAUGCUCCGCGUGUUGCUGCGGAACUUUUUGUUUUCUACAUUUAAAGUCAAAUUUUGAUAUUUAUGUUGAAAGAAUAAUUUUUUGGUAGAAACUUACAAAGGUUUAGCACUAUCUAUUCAGGCUAGCUUGUAAAACCAUUGAAAUAAUUAUAAUACACUUGGUUGGUUCACAUGGACUUUAAAA